rnacentral:rRNA from 1 species
GACGAACGCUGGCGGCGUGCCUAAUACAUGCAAGUCGAGCGCAGGAAACUGACGGAACUCUUCGGAGGGAAGGCAGCGGAAUGAGCGGCGGACGGGUGAGUAACACGUAAGGAGCCCGCCUCAAGGAUUGGGAUAACUCCGAGAAAUCGGAGCUAAUACCGGAUAGUUCAACGGACCGCAUGGUCCGCUGAUGAAAGGCGCUUCGGCGUCACCUUGAGAUGGCCUUGCGGUGCAUUAGCUAGUUGGUGGGGUAACGGCCCACCAAGGCGACGAUGCAUAGCCGACCUGGGAGGGUGAUCGGCCACACUGGGACUGAGACACGGCCCAGACUCCUACGGGAGGCAGCAGUAGGGAAUCUUCCACAAUGGACGAAAGUCUGAUGGAGCAACGCCGCGUGAGUGAUGAAGGUUUUCGGAUCGUAAAACUCUGUUGUAAGGGAAGAACACGUACGAGAGGAAAUGCUCGUACCUUGACGGUACCUUACGAGAAAGCCACGGCUAACUACGUGCCAGCCGCCGCCGUAA